CGUAAACGCUGCUAAGUUUUUUAGUAGAGGAAAGUCCACGCUCACACGUUUCUGUGAUUGAACGUAGUGUUUGUGCAAGGGGAAUAAAUAACCUUUGGUAGGCUUUGCCUAACGGCGCCGAAUAAGCCUAAGUUCUUUUUGAAUAUGGCUUUAUUAGGCAUAAAGUGCCAUAGUGACGAUUUUACUUGGAAACAAGUAAGGUGGAACGUUGGUAAACCCCGCAAGUGAGAAACCCAAAUAUUGGUAGGGGAAUCCUGGUGAAGGAAACGAACGAAUCCAGGAAUACGAUACGUAUAGAUAAAUGUUUACGGCCGCCUUUGCGGUACAGAACGUGGCUUAUU
rnacentral:RNase_P_RNA from 1 species